GACGAACGCUGGCGGCGUGCUUAACACAUGCAAGUCGAACGAAAAGAGGGAAAGAGCUUGCUCUUUCCGGAAUUGAGUGGCAAACGGGUGAGUAACACGUAAACAACCUGCCUUCAGGAUGGGGACAACAGACGGAAACGACUGCUAAUACCGAAUAAAUUCCAAGGGCCGCAUGGCCCAUGGAAGAAAAGGUGGCCUCUACCUGUAAGCUAUCGCCUGAAGAGGGGUUUGCGUCUGAUUAGCUGGUUGGAGGGGUAACGGCCCACCAAGGCGACGAUCAGUAUCCGGUCUGAGAGGAUGAACGGCCACACUGGAACUGAGACACGGUCCAGACUCCUACGGGAGGCAGCAGUGGGGAAUCUUCCGCAAUGGGCGAAAGCCUGACGGAGCAACGCCGCGUGAGUGAUGACGGCCUUCGGGUUGUAAAACUCUGUGAUCCGGGACGAAAAGGCAGAGUGCGAAGAACAAACUGCAUGGACGGUACCGGAAAAGCAAGCCACGGCUAACUACGU
rnacentral:rRNA from 1 species